rnacentral:rRNA from 1 species
CAAACGGAGAGUUUGAUCCUGGCUCAGGACGAACGCUGGCGGCGUGCUUAACACAUGCAAGUCGAACGGAAGUAUAUAUUAAGCUUGCUUUUUGUAUACUUUAGUGGCGGACGGGUGAGUAACGCGUGAGGACU